rnacentral:rRNA from 1 species
AUUGAACGCUGGCGGCAGGCCUAACACAUGCAAGUCGAGCGGAUGAGUGGAGCUUGCUCCAUGAUUCAGCGGCGGACGGGUGAGUAAUGCCUAGGAAUCUGCCUGGUAGUGGGGGACAACGUUUCGAAAGGAACGCUAAUACCGCAUACGUCCUACGGGAGAAAGUGGGGGAUCUUCGGACCUCACGCUAUCAGCUGAGCCUAGGUCGGAUUAGCUAGUUGGUGAGGUAAAGGCUCACCAAGGCGACGAUCCGUAACUGGUCUGAGAGGAUGAUCAGUCACACUGGAACUGAGGCACGGUCCAGACUCCUACGGGAGGCAGCAGUGGGGAAUAUUGGACAAUGGGCGAAAGCCUGAUCCAGCCAUGCCGCGUGUGUGAAGAAGGUCUUCGGAUUGUAAAGCACUUUAAGUUGGGAGGAAGGGCAGUAAGUUAAUACCUUGCUGUUUUGACGUUACCAACAGAAUAAGCACCGGCUAACUUCGUGCCAGCCGCCGCAGUAACAC